UACAGAGGUCCCGAGCGUUGUUCGGAUUCACUGGGCGUAAAGGGUGCGUAGGUGGUUUGGUAAGUCGGAUGUGAAAUCUCCAGGCUCAACCUGGAGGGGUCAUUCGAUACUGCCAUGACUAGAGGUCGGUAGGGGAGUGUGGAAUUCCUGGUGGAGCGGUGAAAUGCGCAGAUAUCAGGAGGAACACCCGUAGCGAAGGCGGCACUCUGGGCCGAUUCUGACACUGAGGAGCGAAAGCGUGGGGAGCGAACAGG
rnacentral:rRNA from 1 species